rnacentral:misc_RNA from 1 species
AAGUCGUAAGGUUUCCGGAGGUGGACGUAUCCAACGUAAAAACAACCCCGUGAACCUUCAGACGUGCUCUCUUUAGCAAUCCCUGGUAAAUCAUUGUCAAACAGAUUUGAGUCAGGGACUUCUUGGAUAUGGAGCUGGCACCCUAGCAAUCUGACACUGGUUGCGCAAGGGUGGCGCAGUAAACGAUCGCUGGAGGCCCACACGGCCGGCGGACGGGCCCCUGUGCCUACCACAGCACCUAACGACCCCAAUGUCUUGAAGCGGUCACCACCAACCGAACAACUGUUAACAAUGGAUAUCUUGGUUCUC